rnacentral:rRNA from 1 species
AGUGAACGCUGGCGGUAGGCCUAACACAUGCAAGUCGAACGGCAGCACAGUAAGAGCUUGCUCUUACGGGUGGCGAGUGGCGGACGGGUGAGGAAUACAUCGGAAUCUACUUUUUCGUGGGGGAUAACGUAGGGAAACUUACGCUAAUACCGCAUACGACCUACGGGUGAAAGCAGGGGAUCUUCGGACCUUGCGCGAUUGAAUGAGCCGAUGUCGGAUUAGCUAGUUGGAGGGGUAAAGGCCCACCAAGGCGACGAUCCGUAGCUGGUCUGAGCGGAUGGUCAACCACACUGGAACUGAGAAACGGUCCAGACUCCUACGGGAGGCAGCAGUGGGGAAUAAUGGACAAUGGGCGCAAGCAUGAUCAAGCCAUACCGCGUGGGUGAAGAAGGCCUUCGGGUUGUAGAGCCCUUUUGUUGGGAAAGAAAAGCAGCAGGUUAAUACCCCGCUGUUCUGACGGUACCCAGAGAAUAAGCACCGGCUAACUUCGUG